rnacentral:sRNA from 1 species
GCCAGGAGCAGCGGAGCACACCUGUAAUCCCAGCUACUCAGGAGGCUGAGGCAGGAGGAUUGUAAGUUUGAGGCAAACCUGGGCACUUAGUAAAAUCCUGUCUCAA